rnacentral:rRNA from 1 species
GAGUUUGAUCCUGGCUCAGGAUGAACGCUGGCGGCGUGCUUAACACAUGCAAGUCGAACGAAGCGCCUUAUUUGAUUUUCUUCGGAACUGAAGAUUUGGUGACUGAGUGGCGGACGGGUGAGUAACGCGUGGGUAACCUGCCCUGUACAGGGGGAUAACAAAUCAGAAAUGACUGCUAAUACCGCAUAAGACCACAGCACCGCAUGGUGCAGGGGUAAAAACUCCGGUGGUACAGGAUGGACCCGCGUCUGAUUAGCUGGUUGGUGAGGUAACGGCUCACCAAGGCGACGAUCAGUAGCCGGCUUGAGAGAGUGAACGGCCACAUUGGGACUGAGACACGGCCCAAACUCCUACGGGAGGCAGCAGUGGGGAAUAUUGCACAAUGGGGGAAACCCUGAUGCAGCAACGCCGCGUGAGUGAAGAAGUAAUUUCGGUAUGUAAAGCUCUAUCAGCAGGGAA